UUACAGCCAUAUCACCUUGAAACAUUGGUUCCCAUAAAAUCACCGAAGUUAAGUAACAUUGAGCCUGGUCAGUAUCUAGAUGGGUGGCCACUUGGGAAUACAAGGUGUUGGAAG